CUCAUGGCAAGAUUGUCUACUUCUCAGGUCUUGAUUUCUGAAAAAUGAGGGCAAAGAGCAACCUACUGGGAAGAAGUAAGACUCUAACAAAGAAAGAGGCCAGCCUUUAUGACCUACUCAAGAGACCUGAACACUGUCAU
rnacentral:lncRNA from 1 species